ACUGAAGACAUAUACAUUCUGGAUAAUCACUCAGAGAUAUAUGUAUGGGUCGGCCAACAAGUCGACCCAAAAAGUAGAUUGCAUGCUUUAACUAUUGGGGAGAAAUUUCUAGAACAUGAUUUUCUACUGGAAAAUCUAUCUUCUAAAGCUCCAGUGUACAUUAUCACGGAAGGAAGUGAACCCCCUUUCUUCACACGCUUCUUUAAAUGG
rnacentral:misc_RNA from 1 species